rnacentral:lncRNA from 1 species
GGAGACAGGGCCACACUUACCCUAAUGACAGUCUCCGGGGUCUUCAUCCAGCCUGAGCACCGUGCAUGGAGCCUGGCCUGAAGUGCUCCAGCUCAGAGGAGGAGGAGGGAGAGGGAAGAAGGAACCCAAGACUGAAGACCCACAGCUAAAGAUGAUGAAACUAAGACUAAGAGAAGUUCACCAACUUGUCCAAGGCCACAACUCACAGUGGAAUCUGAACUCGGCUCCAUAUGACUCGAGUCCCACGAUCUUUUCAUGUUCCCUGCUACCUCUCCCUCUCAGCCUGCUACAGUGAUGGGACAUUUAUGAACUUGCAAAAUGCUUUCUUACAAAUUAUCUUAUUUGAUUUUCACAAACAUGUGUGAGGCAGGUAUAAGUUCUGUUCUAUGGAUGAACAAUUAGUCUUCAGGUAAAGAACAACUUGUCCAAGGUCAAAUAGCUGAUAAGUAUCUGGGAACUGGGACCUAAAUACACAUUUGAUGAGUAACUUUGCCACAAUAUCUUAUCUGGACACUUGAAAACAUACUCCAGCCCUGUCAUAAACCCAGGAGAAUUUGAAGAUGUCCCUCCCUACUUACAGCCUGGUUUCAUGAUCACUAGAAACUUGUUUAACUAAACUCCUUUCUGUUCUCAGGAUGGCUCAGGGGACUGAGCUGGAAAAAAAAAAAGGCCUCAGAAGGGAAAUGGAGGCCCAGAAAGCUUUGGUGAGCAGCUCGAGAUUACAUAGGACAUGGAGACCAGAACUCAUGUUUCCUCAAAUAGUUCAUUUCCAGGGGGCUUUUAGGCUAUUACUUCUAUAAUCUGCCCUCUGUCUGCCUCAGGGACUCUCCCCUCCAACCCCCAUUUGGACCAUGAACUGAUGCCAAUGGCACCAAGGAAGCAUCAACUGAUACUGGGCAGAAGGGCAGGGCAGUGGCCCCUGGGAGUCUUCAUGGCUCCUCUGGCAGAAAGUACCUGGAGGCAUCAGCUCAUGGACCUGGAGCAUAUCAGCAAGGAACAGAGAUAAACUGUACCGCAUCACCACCCUGGCACUACUCAUGAGAAACUUUCCCAACCAUUAUGCUUGGUUGACUUGGCCGGGAAGGAGUUAACACACAACAUGUGAGGAGUACACUGAGUAGGGAGCUGUGUUCUUGGGUGACCUGUGGGUAUCUGGGCCCAUUUAAUGCACCAAGUCUUCAAAUAGUGGCAGCCAUCACAGGCUUUCCUGUCUGCUUGUGCAUGCACACGGGGAUCCUUCACUUGGUGGCUUCUCCCCAAGCAAACAUUUUUAGCCCAUCCUGGUUUCUCCUCACUGCCCUCUCUACCCUGGGAAAUGCAAUCCACAUUGUCCAAGUCAGACCUAAUUAGACCAGCAAAUCGGUGGCACUCAAGUCAUCACAGCACACUCCAAGCACAAGAGGAAAUGCUGUGUAGGUUAUCCUGUGCGCUGCUUGUUGUGUCUGUUUGUGUUUCCUUGGAUUAUCCAUUCUCUGCUCCCUGCCUUCCAUUACCUCACUAAUGGAGAGGCAGGAUGCAGUCCUCCACAGGCCAGCAUUCAUCUUCCCAGUCUGACCCUCUCGGAGGCUAUUACGCUGCUGUCGCAAGAUCGACGAGGGGAGAAAAAUGAAAACAGUGCACAGGGAACAAUGGAGGGCAAAUGGGACUCUUUUAGAACCGGAUCCACUGAUACGUCAGGCCAAGGAGAAAUGACCACAAGCUGUGAAAAGUGGAGAGCUCCCCCAGACAGCAAAGCCAGUUCACAAUAUCUGAAACGAC